ACCGAGCAACUCACCAACGCAACUAAACCUGCACAACGUCUACCCAUCCAUACAGAUAGGUAGGCGGUCAAAACCACUUGGGAUAAGCUUUACAUCAAUCAUAAUCCACAUAAACAUUUAGACAUAAAUAAAUCAAUUCAAGUAAUCAUAUAAUUAAUCAAGAGUAAUUAAUUCCCAUAUACACAUUCAUACCAUAAUUUCAAAGUCUCAUAAUAUGUAUUCAUCAAACACACUUAUCACCAACAAUCAUCAUUCACAUGUCACAAAUAAGACUCAUGUCAACAUGAUAUGCACCUAGUUCGACACAUAUAUGCAUGUAGUACCAAAUCACCGCAAGGUCGUCACCUUCGAUGCAACAAAAACAUCGAUCGUAUGUAAGAUUUCACAUCCGUCUUACAUAAUCACCGAAGUAAAAGAGCACCCCUCUUUUACAGCUACAAGACUCAACAUGACUAUUAUGCAAGGACAUACAAGCAAAGACUCGACAAGGCAAAACCACCUCAUAAUCUUCACAACGAUAUAAAGGAUAACUUCCAAAUAUAUUGAUUAUCUCCACAACAAUUGAAUUAUCAAGUAUUUACGUCCACACAACAUUCAAGUCAUAAUUCAAAUAAGAGUCAUCAUCACAUUAUCACCAUAUUCAUCAAUAAUCAUCAACAUCAUUCAACAUCAACUACAUCAUAUAGUUUCACCACUCCAAAUAUUUCUCAUAUUCAAAGUAAAGAGAAAAUACAACAACUUAUGAUAAAUAUCAUAUCCAACAUAUAACAAUUCAUUCAAACAUCUUCAUUUAGUCAUAUAAGUUUAGUCACGAAAGAUCAUAAGAUAAUUGGCUUAAGAGAACCAUUCCCGAUAAAAUCUAUAUCAAGUGGCAAACGGCCAACAUUAAUAAUUCCCAAAACAAGGUAACAUAUUCAAGGUUGAAAAUUCACAAAAUAAUCUUAAACAAUCAUGUAAUCAAGAGCUUAAGCCACUUACAAACUAUUAGACAUUAGUUCAAAUUAUAGCUUAAGUUCGUAUGAGAAAACCCAAGUUCACAUUUUCCACAUUCCCACCCAAAAAUCAAGUUUGACAUGAUUAAGACAUUAAGCCAACUUUACAAGUCUUGCCUAAGUCUAUAUGAAUUGUAGGUUAAACUUGUAAUCUCAUUUAGUUCAAAAAAGUUCAUUUCGAGAAAAAUUCGAAAUUGCAAAAAAUAUUCAAGUUUUAACCCAAAAUGGAAAAUCCCAAAUUUGAAUGAGUAAAACAUGUUCCAGUAGAAUUAGGAGUUCAAACAGAGGUUAAACAAGUUGAAAGAAGUAUUUUACAAAGCUCGAAUUGGCCCCCUAAGACCCGGAAUGAAAAUCAAAGGUUGCUGAAACUGGGCACGUUUGCUUAAGCGACCACCUUGUUCGCUUAAGCGAACAAGUUCCAGAAGCUACGACAAAAGUUCACUUGUUGUUCGCUUACUCGUUCGCUUAGCGUUCGCAUAAGCGAACAGUCAUAAUUCAGCAGAUAAAUAUUACAGGUUUCAACCAUUUUUCACCUAAAAUUCUCAAUUUUGAUCUGCCAAUGCCCAAAUAUGUUUCAAAAGUUUGUUUACAUGUCAAAACAGCUAAAAGGGUUCCCAAGAACACAUCAAUUAUGAAAACAAUUGCCAUUUGAACAUAAUUCACCAAAUCAACCUAUUUUUACAAAACCAACAGCAACAACUUAUUUUUCAUCAUCAAGUCAUGAUAUAUGAACACCCAACAACAUCAAUUAAGCAUUAUUCCCAUCAUAAUUCAACAACAACAUAGCACAAUUCAACAAUUUGAGCACAAUUCACAAUAUAACAUUUUCACAUACUAUGAACAUGAAAUUUCACCAACAACAAUUCAAUUAUCACCAAUUUCUUGCAUUUAAACAUAUCAUCAUAAUUAAUGCACGAAUUUCAACAACUAUGAACAAUAAUCAAUUAUUCAACUAAGCACUUAAACAUGCAAUUAAUGAAAAAUUACAACUAAUUGAUUAUGAUUGAAUUCUAAUUCCCUUACCUUAAAUAGCACAAAUCCUAGUCCAAGCUUCAAUUUAGCUCCUAGAAUCACCACCACCUCUUAGGUCUUCAAGUCUCUCCUCUUCUAACCCUUUUCCCCUUCUCUUGCACCUUCUCUCUCUACCUCUCUCUAAAAAUCUUGUGAAAUGAAAAAUGAAUGUUAUUUCUCUUAAGACAAGGUUUAUAUAGGCUAUUCUCAAAUCGGCUUAAUCGAAUGCUAUUUCUCUUAAGACAAGGUUUAUAUAGGCUACUAUCAAAUGGGCUCAACCCUAAUGCCUUAGUGGGCUUAACCCACCCAAUCACAAUUCUAAAAUCUUUCUACACACUUAACGGUAAAAUACUAACUAUGGUUACUUACCGGCUCACAACUAUUUACCACAAUAGUAACUUAGUAAAAUAAUGGUUCUCACUAAGACACCAAAAAUAAUUCUUACUAUAAUUACUAAUUUACCGUUCUGACACGAAAACCCAUGAAAAUGCACCCAAUGAUAAAAUUCACCCACAAGCACAUAUAAACACAUAUUAAAACAAUUAAAAAUAAAUCUAACGAAAAUGGGGCUGUUACACAUAGCAAUUUUAGGGGUUUUUUUAAGUAAUU
rnacentral:lncRNA from 1 species